rnacentral:rRNA from 1 species
GUCGAGAGGCUUCGGCAAUGGGGGCAACCCUGACCGAGCGACGCCGCGUGCGGGAUGAAGGCCUUCGGGUUGUAAACCGCUGUCAGGAGGGAAGAAUCCUCGCGGGCGAAUACCUCGCGAGUUGACGGUACCUCCAAAGGAAGCUCCGGCUAACUCCGUGCCAGCAGCCGCGGUAAUACGGAGGGAGCUAACGUUGUUCGGAUUUACUGGGCGUAAAGGGCGUGUAGGCUGUUUUGCAUGUCAGGGGUGAAAUGCCUCGGCUCAACUGGGGACCUGCCUCUGAAACUGCAGAACUUGAGGCCGUGAGAGGAGACUGGAAUUCCUAGUGUAGCGGUGAAAUGCAUAGAUAUUAGGAAGAACACCAGUGGCGAAGGCGAGUCUCUGGCACGGAUCUGACGCUGAUGCGCGAAAGCUAGGGGAGCAAACGGGAUUAGAAACCCGUGUAGUCC